GUUUUACUGAGGCUCAGUCACGUAGAUGGGCCAUGGGGAUGGCCAUGUGGAUGUCCAUGGUGUGGACUCGGCAACACUAUACAGCCAAGGUUGCAUCCUUGAAAUCUCCAGGGCUCUGAGAAUGGUGGGCGGAGCAUACAUUCCAAAGAUAGAGAAGGGGCUAGGGAGCCUCUGAUUGCCUGGUUGCCCGGGGCCAGUGCUCAGGGCAUCCCAACAUCCUGUGCCCUUCAAGGGCCUCCUCCAACACUGCGGUCAUGGCUCCUGCUUCAAGAUGACCAGUUUGUGGAAUCCGUGGAUACUGCUCAUAGGAUGGGGUUCUAGGCUAGAACACUUUCUUGAAACCGUGAGCCAGACCAACAAGUUUGUUUUCAUCGUCCUUACUUUCUGGCUAAGGAGAAAGAUGACCACACAAGUAACCAAGACAAUAUCAGGUAAUAAGAUCGGCUAUGAAGAAAUCAUAGUGAAAUCCUGGGAUGGAG
rnacentral:lncRNA from 1 species